GAGGAAACUGAAGCUGAGAGGGAGAAUGUGCCUUGCUCAAGGGCACACAGAGUAAUGGCAGAGCCAGGACUCAAGUCCAGGCACAUGAAAUAAUGUUCUUGAUCUUAACCCCUAGCCUGGGAUGGUGCAGGCUGAACGGUGAGCUCCAGCACAUCAGCAAUUACUAUAUGUAAGGAAAAAGGAGUAGCUUAGCAGCAGGAAUGAAGCCCAAGAAAAAUACUCCAAGUUGCCUUCCAAGAUUGAAGCAAUGAUAUCUGAGACCCUAUUGGUUCUCUUCUUCUGGAGAACGCUAAUAGAGAGGCU
rnacentral:lncRNA from 10 species